rnacentral:rRNA from 1 species
UACGGAGGGGGCUAGCGUUGUUCGGAAUUACUGGGCGUAAAGCGCGCGUAGGCGGCUUUGUAAGUUAGAGGUGAAAGCCCGGAGCUCAACUCCGGAAUUGCCUUUAAGACUGCAUCGCUUGAAUCAUGGAGAGGCGGGUGGAAUUCCGAGUGUAGAGGUGAAAUUCGUAGAUAUUCGGAAGAACACCAGUGGCGAAGGCGGCCCGCUGGACAUGUAUUGACGCUGAGGUGCGAAAGCGUGGGGAGCAAACAGG